AAUGUGUUCCUGAGCCUUGUACACACCGCCCGUCAAGUCAUGGGAGUUGGGAGUACCCGAAGUCCGCUUCGGCGGCCGACGGUAAGCCCGAUGACUGGGACU
rnacentral:rRNA from 1 species